rnacentral:rRNA from 1 species
UCCUACGGGGGGCAGCAGUAGGGAAUUUUCGUCAAUGGGCGCAAGCCUGAACGAGCAAUGCCGCGUGAACGAGGAAGGUCUUCGGAUCGUAAAGCUCUGUUGAAGGGGAAAAAGAGCGGAGAAAGGAAAUGGUCUCCGAUUGAUAUUACCCUUCGAGGAAGUCACGGCUAACUACGUGCCAGCAGCCGCGGUAAUACGUAGGUGGCGAGCGUUAUCCGGAAUGAUUGGGCGUAAAGGGUGCGUAGGCGGCCUGCUAAGUCUGGAGUGAAAGGUACCGGCUCAACCGGUACAGGCUCUGGAAACUG